rnacentral:rRNA from 1 species
UACAGAGGUCUCGAGCGUUAGGCGGAAUCACUGGGCUUAAAGCGUGUGUAGGCGGAUCGGUAAGUACCUUGUGAAAUCCCACAGCUUAACUGUGGAACUGCUUGGUAUACUGCCAGUCUUGAGCCACUUAGGGGCUACCGGAACAAAUGGUGGAGCGGUGAAAUGCGUAGAUAUCAUGUGGAACGCCAAUGGUGAAAACAGGUUGCUGGGGGUGUGCUGACGCUGAGACACGAAAGCCAGGGGAGCGAACGGG